rnacentral:rRNA from 1 species
UACAGAGGUCCCGAGCGUUGUUCGGAUUCACUGGGCGUAAAGGGUGCGUAGGUGGCUGGAAAAGUUUGAUGUGAAAGCUCAGGGCUUAACCCUGAAAUGGCAUUGAAUACUGUCGAGCUGGAGGUUUGGAGGGGGGACUGGAAUUCUUGGUGUAGCAGUGAAAUGCGUAGAUAUCAAGAGGAACACCAGUGGCGAAGGCGAGUCCCUGGACAACACCUGACACUGAGGCACGAGAGCUAGGGGAGCAAACAGG